rnacentral:pre_miRNA from 1 species
UUUCAGAGUUGGGAUAUCGGGAAUGAAACCUGGGUCAAGAUGAUUUGAAGGCAGGCUGUUGAAGAUUAUCUCGGACCAGGCUUCAUUCCUUGCAUCCAAACUCUUCAAGUACUGUUGCUCAAUUGAAAA